UACGUAGGGUGCGAGCGUUUGUCCGGAAUUAUUGGGCGUAAAGGGCUCGUAGGCGGUUUGUCGCGUCGGGAGUGAAAUCCACUGGCUUAACUGGUGGCUUGCUUUCGAUACGGGCAGACUGGAGGUAUGCAGGGGAGAACGGAAUUCCUGGUGUAGCGGUGAAAUGCGUAGAGAUCUGGAGGAACACCGAUGGCGAAGGCAGCCUUCUGGGCCAACACUGACGCUCAUGCACGAAAGCGUGGGGAGCAAACAGG
rnacentral:rRNA from 1 species